rnacentral:rRNA from 1 species
UACGUAGGUGACCAGCGUUGUCCGGAUUUACUGGGCGUAAAGAGCGCGCAGGCGGUCGUUCAAGUCGAGUGUGAGAGCCCCCGGCUCAACUGGGGAGGGUCAUUCGAUACUGAUCGACUUGAAGGCAGGAGAGGGAAGUGGAAUUCCCGGUGUAGUGGUGAAAUGCGUAGAGAUCCGGAAGAACACCGGUGGCGAAGGCGGUCUGCUGGGGUCGAACUGACGCUGAGGCGCGACAGCGUGGGGAGCAAACAGG